rnacentral:rRNA from 1 species
UACGUAGGGUGCAAGCGUUAAUCGGAAUUACUGGGCGUAAAGCGUGCGCAGGCGGUGAUGUAAGACAGAUGUGAAGUCCCCGGGCUCAACCUGGGAACUGCGUUUGUAACUGGCAGACUGGAGUGUGGCAGAGGGGGGUGGAAUUCCAAGUGUAGCAGUGAAAUGCGUAGAUAUUUGGAGGAACACCGAUGGCGAAGGCACGCCCCGUGGGCUAACACUGACGCUCAUGCACGAAAGCGU